rnacentral:lncRNA from 1 species
GAAUUACCCAGAAUGCAUGUCUGAAGAAUUUGAAGAUCUUUCCAACAUUUCUGAAAAUCCUAAAGCAUUUUUUGGUAAUGUGGAGCUGCUGCUUUCUGAAAUGCAAGAGCGUUUGCUGGAUGUCAACAAAGAGACGGAGAUUAAGAUCAAAUCUGGAGAUGUGCCUCCUAAAGCCGAUGCCCCUGUCUCAUCAUUGUUUAUAGAUUUUGCCAAAAAAGAUGGGGAUUGGGACUGUGAAGUCUGCCUGGUGAAAAAUGAAGGCAUGUCUAGCUAUUGUGUCUCCUGCCAGACGUCAAACCCAAAUAUGAAAAGCAAAAGCACUUUUGCAACGGGAUUUACGUUUGGUUUUGGUAGUUCUCCCAACCAACCUGCUACAGCAGGACCUCUAAAUGCAGGUUUUAAUCAGAGUAAGGAGAAAGCAUUUUGGACCUUCGGUGCUGCUUGCUCCACGUUUGGCAGCAGGCCUUAAUCUGUUCUCGAAUAUGAUUGAAAGACAGAAUGGCUCAUGCAGAUGAACUUACUGUCUGUAAUUCUCCUCUGAUACGCCUCCCUUCAUUGUCAAUCACCACUGAUGACAUAAAGGUGUUGUUUGUUCUCACCCGUGCGAUUGUGAAACCACCUGCUUUCAGCUGACCUUCAAUUCAAGUUUAUUUGUAUAGUGCUUUUCACGAUACAAAUCGUUGCAAAGCAACUUUACAGAAAAUUAAGUUUCUACAAUAUAUUUAGUAGCAGCUUAUCAGUGGUGACUGUCAGUUAAUGUACAGAUGGCAGAAAUGUACUGAAAAAUCAAUUAAAGAUGUAUUCAAACAGACGAUGAACAGCAAUUAUUAUAUGAUGUAAUCAAACUUAUAGCAAAAUGUGGUAGUUCUGUAUGUUGUUUCAGGGUUGGCAUCAUCUGAGGUCCUCUGAGGAGUUGCAUCAUCUCUUCUCAGGUGUUCUGGAUCCAGACUGAAGCUUGUGUAAAUCCUAGUUACCACGGGAUGUUAAUCCCAGCAGAAACAGAGAAACACAUAGAGACAUAAUUAGCUUAGCUGCUGUUCCAACCAAGCAAAAAAAGAUAAUGUGCAUUUGAUCAGAU